rnacentral:rRNA from 1 species
CGAGGGUGGCAAGCGUUGUUCGGAUUUACUGGGCGUACAGGGAGCGUAGGCGGUUCGGUAAGCCCUCCGUGAAAUCUCCAGGCUCAACCUGGAAAGUGCAGAGGGGACUGCCGGGCUAGAGGAUGGGAGAGGAGCGCGGAAUUCCCGGUGUAGCGGUGAAAUGCGUAGAGAUCGGGAGGAAGGCCGGUGGCGAAGGCGGCGCUCUGGAACAUUUCUGACGCUGAGGCUCGAAAGCGUGGGGAGCAAACGGGAUUAGAUACCCUGGUAGUCCACGCCUUAAACGAUGGAUACUAAGUGUCGGCGGGUUACCGCCGGUGCCGCAGCUAACGCAGUAAGUAUCCCGCCUGGGAAGUACGGCCGCAAGGUUG